UACGUAGGGGGCAAGCGUUGUCCGGAUUUAUUGGGCGUAAAGAGCGUGUAGGCGGCCAGGUAGGUCUGCUGUGAAAACUCGAGGCUCAACCUCGAGACGUCGGCGGAAACCAUCUGGCUAGAGUCCGGAAGAGGAGAGUGGAAUUCCUGGUGUAGCGGUGAAAUGCACAGAUAUCAGGAAGAACACCCGUGGCGAAGGCGGCUCUCUGGACAGUUCCUGACACUGAGACACGAAGGCCAGGGGAGCAAACGGG
rnacentral:rRNA from 1 species